GCCAAUUUUAAAAUAGCAAAAAUAAGAAUAUCUUUUGCAACAGCUCAAAUACUAAGGAUGUUAUGUAUACAAAAAUUAAAGUUUAAUUUUUAAAUUAGGCAAUUUUAGUGUUUUUUCAUAUAGAUGAAUUGCCUGUGGCUUUAAAAAAUGUCAUGUGGUGCGACCAUCAUUUAUCUCAAAAUUAUUACAUUUUUUCAACAUACUUCAUAGUUUUUUACAAAUUGUCGGUAACAUCAAGUACAUAGGAACAAAGCGUUUGCAUUUUAUUUGAGAUUUUGUAAAUAAUUAUCUCAUAUAUUAGCUCUAUAAUGUCACAGACGCUAUAUCAAAUGUAGUUCACUGACUAUUUUUUUCUUUAAAUUACAUAAUACUGAUAAAAAUGUUUUGAAACUACCUUUCAUGUAAGCAUAUUGUAUCAGGUAUUAAUGUCUCGGUUACAGAAAUGAGAUAUUUUAGUUUGUAUUUGAUAUAACUAAUGUUAUUAUUGGUCGCACCACAUGAUUGGUGGUCGCGCCAAAUGACCUGAAGACCUUGUAUCAUUAAAAAUCAAUUUAAAGAGACCUAUGAACAAUUAAUUUCAUGCAAAUUUUAUAUUAAAACCAAAUUUUAUUAAAAUUUCAAACAUGAACGCGAACAUUUUAUUUCCCUUUUUUUACAAAAAUUUAACUCUGUGUGUGUUUGUGUAUGUGGUCCAGAGGCCUGCACUAUGAAGCUGGAUUAACACACCCAGGAUAACUCUGCCUCAACUCACUCAACUUCACCAGAUCUCCGUAAUCCUGAUCAGCUGUACUACGAGGCAGGAUAUCAACUAGCUUACUAAAUUCAGUUGUGGCCAGUCUAGAUCUGUGCGCGCACACGUAAAGGGGGCGGGGUCAGUGCCACCGGACCAAUCUCCACAAUGAAGAAGGCUGCAUGUCAUAUUUCACAGCCGAGGAACAGAGCAUCGUUUUACGCUAAUACGAGGAGUACUGCAACAUUAUAA